rnacentral:lncRNA from 1 species
UUGCUACCUCUUCACCAAGUAACAACUGCCCUGACAUUAGCAGUAGUCAUUCUGCUGAACCUAGUAAAGCAUCUGCUCCCCAUAGUUCAAGUGGGACUAAAACCAAUAAGAAGAAGAUGAAGGCAAGCCGUGAAAACAGCCACUUCCCCAUAGUUCAAGUGGGACUAAAACCAAUAAGAAGAAGAUGAAGGUAAGAUGGAAGAGAUGGUGCCUGUUUCUCAUAGAAAAAUAAGCGGUAAUUAUGUGUUCAAAGUUCCAUAAUAUUGUGGUCCAAGAAAGCCAUUAUUUCUUUUCUAUUGGCUCCAAAGGUACAAGUAUGCUGUUUUCUGACCUCAGUUUGAUUUUUUUCCUAGUUGUGUAGGUUCCUCAUGCACUUCUGUGUUUGAAGGCCUGAAAAACGCUUAGUGAUUGCUUAUCUAGCUCAACAAUCAUGAGGUCUUUUGUUAUUUUUCUCUUAUUUAAAGGAAAAAGGGAUAAGAUGUAGAUAUAUUUAGAUGUGGUGUGGCGCCUGUAAGAUGAAUACAGAGCUCAUUUUGUUAUCUCGAAGUUUUAAUUUCUCAAACUGUGCAUGAAACAUAGCAAUCAGUGUAUGACUCUACCUAGAUUUGUCUUGGGAUUUCAACCUCUAGUAUUGCUGACUGAGCAGUGGUCAAAUUAUCCUGCAUAUGCGGGAGUUUGAAUCAAUUGAUAUAGGGGAAAGUUUGGUAUCUUUUUCUGAUUCAGGUAGAUUGGUCACCUGAACUACACAAGAAGUUUGUUCAAGC